rnacentral:lncRNA from 1 species
CACCGCCGCCGCCGCCGCGACACACACACACACACACACUACCACUAUGGGACCAUAAGAGCAAGUCCACCCUCUUGGCCUUCGUUAGGAAGACCUGGGUAAUGGGUGAGACCUGGGUCGCCACGUAGUAGUGAUUUUAGGCUGAAAUUUCUACCGAUUUAUGUUUCUGGGUUGCCACCACUACAGGAAAUAUCAAAUUACCAAUAAUUCCGCACCGACGGAAGAGGAACCGUCGUUUAGGAUACCACAUCCGUCGUCUAAGAUAUCCUAGGCGACAGAAAAUAACCGUACACGUCUUCCGUCGACUAGGAUUUUCAUACAUGACGAAACACCAUUCGUCGUCCAGGUUCCGUCGUCUAAGAUAUCCUAAGCGACGACUAUCUUCCGUUGGUAUGGUUUUGUCGUCUAAGAUUUUCUAGGGCGACGAAUAUUGUUCCGUCGGUAUAUCUCUCUUAGAUGACGAACAAUUUUCCGUCGUCCUAAAUUGUCAUGGGCGACGAAGGCAUUUCCGUCGGUUAGGAUGUACUCGGGAGACGAAUUUUCUUUUCUUAAGCGACGAACUGUUCUGUCGCCUAGGAUUUUGAAUUAUUGCCUGACACAAAGCAGAACGAAUAUUUUUUCUGAAGCCUUUUCUCUUAGGCGAUGGAAUAUUUCGUCGCCUAGGAUUUUGAAUUAUUGCCUGACACAAAGCAUAACGAAUAUUUUUCCGAAACCUUUUCUCUUAGGCGACGGUAUAUUCCGUCGGCUAAGUUUUCACAUCAUCCAUUUAUACACCUUUCCCCCAGAAGAGAACGCAGAAAAAAGACAUGGUCUAGCUCCCCCCCCCUCAUGGGAAUAUUCAUCCGAUCCAAAUCUAGUUUUGGAAGCUUUUUUUCAUGAAGUUGAUCGAUCUUGAAGAGCUGCAUGCCUCGGUCUCGAUCUCUUAGCUAAUUGGUAUAUAUGUAACUACUUUAAUUAAUAUAUCUACUUUCUUCUUUUAGGCAUAUUUUAUGCGAACUUUCGGCGACUUGCCGGUCCAAUUUUGAUGGAUUGUUACUUACUUAUAUGCUUAAUUUAAUUACUGGAUAUGUGUGUAUAAUAUGUUUGUACGUACGUAUUGAUAAGACGUAUUUGCACACACAUCAAUUAACCCUGUCAACAAAUCAAUCGUAGUAUAAAGCAAGCAGGGAUCGUUCUAAACCGGGGAUCCAACUACAGGGUAGAUCCAUCUAAUCUAAUGUAAGUAUCGAAAUAAGCAUAUAGGUUUAAAGGUUUUAUGAUUUCGGAACAAUAUUAAUAAUAAAUCUUAAAUUACUUCUAUACAUAUAUACAUGUGAUCAACCAACAUUCAUGCAAACUUAACCAAACAACCAUGUAAGAAUAAAGAAGACAAUCUCUAAUCUCAUUUAAGUCUACACCGUGAGCAAUUAUACAACCUAAAUUUGAUAUGCACAUAAGUUCCUACGUGGUUCCUAUGACAUAGACCAACUUAGAAUUAGACUACGGGUUUCAUUCAACAUCGCGACACAACAAGCUCGGCUACAUGCUCUACUUAUUGGUCACACACAUAAACUAAUCAUGUAAUUACGUAUCACAUAAAGAAUUUGAUGUGUUUAAGCACAAGUCCAAAUCAAACAUAGGUAGAAAAUCGGUGAAAAACAAAGACAAUGCAACUUAUCAACUACGUGUAUCAAAAUCGAACUUUGGAUGAUUAACACAUGCAAUAUCAACUACUUGUAUCAACUACACAUGAUAAUGGAAUAUAGCACCGAAAAUCUUAAAGUAUUUAGACAUAAAACUCACGGCAUAAAACCUCAAAUCAUUGAUUAUAAAUUG